rnacentral:rRNA from 1 species
AAACUUUCAACAACGGAUCUCUUGGCUCCGGCAUCGAUGAAGAACGCAGCGAAAUGCGAUAAGUAAUGUGAAUUGCAGAAUUCAGUGAAUCAUCGAAUCUUUGAACGCACAUUGCGCCCGCCAGUAUUCUGGCGGGCAUGCCUGUUCGAGCGUCAUUA